CCUACGGGGUGCAGCAGUGAGGAAUAUUGGUCAAUGGCCGGAAGGCUGAACCAGCCAUGCCGCGUGAAGGUCAGUGCCCUAUGGGCGUUAAACUUCUUUUGUGCGGGAGCAAUAAUGGUCACGUGUGGCCAGACGAGAGUACCGUACGAAUAAGCAUCGGCUAACUUCGUGCCAGCAGCCGCGGUAAUACGGGGGAUGCAAGCGUUAUCCGGAAUUAUUGGGUUUAAAGGGUGCGUAGGCUGUGAGGUAAGUCAGCGGUGAAAUGCCCCCGCUCAACGGGGUGAAGUGCCAUUGAUACUGCCUGGCUGGAAUGCAGAUGCGGUGGGAGGAAUGUGUGGUGUAGCGGUGAAAUGCAUAGAUAUCACAAAGAACACCGAUUGCGAAGGCAUCUCACGAAUCCGCGAUUGACGCUGAUGCACGAAAGCGUGGGUAUCAAACAGGAUUAGAUACCCUAGUAGUC
rnacentral:rRNA from 1 species